AUGACUCAUAGAUAAAUUACUUCACCCUCAUGAACCUCAAACUGGGUGUGCCAUUUGCUGCAGAUUGACUCAGGGCUUAACCCUUCCAGGUAUCAUGAAGCUCCACCUUCCAGAAUGAUCCUGAGGCUGGCACAGGGAGCUCAGAGGCUGAGGGCACAGUCUUGAGGACCUCUGAUCUGUACCCUUCCUGCUGGAUAAACCUCAGCUGAGCCAAGCAGAUAUCCAAAUAGCUGGAAGUCCCUCUGGAGGUCUCUCAAGAGUUAAAACCAAACCAAACCAAACCCAGGAUUGAG
rnacentral:lncRNA from 12 species